GACGAACGCUGGCGGCGUGCUUAACACAUGCAAGUCGAACGGAAAGGCCCUGCUUUUGUGGGGUGCUCGAGUGGCGAACGGGUGAGUAACACGUGAGUAACCUGCCCUUGACUUUGGGAUAACUUCAGGAAACUGGGGCUAAUACCGGAUAGGAGCUCCUGCUGCAUGGUGGGGGUUGGAAAGUUUCGGCGGUUGGGGAUGGACUCGCGGCUUAUCAGCUUGUUGGUGGGGUAGUGGCUUACCAAGGCUUUGACGGGUAGCCGGCCUGAGAGGGUGACCGGCCACAUUGGGACUGAGAUACGGCCCAGACUCCUACGGCAGGCAGCAGUGGGGAAUAUUGCACAAUGGGCGGAAGCCUGAUGCAGCAACGCCGCGUGCGGGAUGACGGCCUUCGGGUUGUAAACCGCUUUCGCCUGUGACGAAGCGUGAGUGACGGUAAUGGGUAAAGAAGCACCGGCUAACUACGUG
rnacentral:rRNA from 1 species